rnacentral:lncRNA from 1 species
AUGAAACUCUCAUUUGGAAAUAUGACCAUUGAUCUUAAUAUUUUCAAUCUUGAAAAAAAAGGGACCAACUCGUUGAUGUAAAUCUAAUUCAAGAUAAGAUCUAUGAGACCACUGACCUAGGGGAAGAAGAUUUUGACUGUAAUAUCUAGUCAGAUCAAAAAUUUGAAAUAACUUAUGAAAUAUCUCCAUCUAGUGAUCAGAGAGUUCAUCCACAAUGGCAACCACC